GGGCAUGUGGCUUAAUGGGUAAAGCACUUGGCUUGUGUGCCAAGUGUGGAGGAGCCCUGGCUCCCAUACCCA
rnacentral:tRNA from 1 species